UGAAAUACCACCCUUUAAUGUUUGAUGUUCUAACGUUGGCCCCUGAUCGGGGUUGCGGACAGUGUCUGGUGGGUAGUUUGACUGGGGCGGUCUCCUCCUAAAGAGUAACGGAGGAGCACGAAGGUUGGCUAAUCCUGGUCGGACAUCAGGAGGUUAGUGCAAUGGCAUAAGCCAGCUUGACUGCGAGCGUGACGGCGCGAGCAGGUGCGAAAGCAGGUCAUAGUGAUCCGGUGGUUCUGAAUGGAAGGGCCAUCGCUCAACGGAUAAAAGGUACUCCGGGGAUAACAGGCUGAUACCGCCCAAGAGUUCAUAUCGACGGCGGUGUUUGGCACCUCGAUGUCGGCUCAUCACAUCCUGGGGCUGAAGUAGGUCCCAAGGGUAUGGCUGUUCGCCAUUUAAAGUGGUACGCGAGCUGGGUUUAGAACGUCGUGAGACAGUUCGGUCCCUAUCUGCCGUGGGCGCUGGAGAACUGAGGGGGGCUGCUCCUAGUACGAGAGGACCGGAGUGGACGCAUCACUGGUGUUCGGGUUGUCAUGCCAAUGGCACUGCCCGGUAGCUAAAUGCGGAAGAGAUAAGUGCUGAAAGCAUCUAAGCACGAAACUUGCCCCGAGAUGAGUUCUCCCUGACUCCUUGAGAGUCCUGAAGGAACGUUGAAGACGACGACGU
rnacentral:rRNA from 1 species